UUGGACCUGAUAUCAGACAAGACUACCCGCUGAACUUAAGCAUAUCAAAAAGCCGGAGGAA
rnacentral:rRNA from 2 species